UUGUGUGUUGGACCUGGUUUGGUGCUUGCUUGACAGGUAGCUUGUUGGUUUUGAAAGUACUGGUUCGUGUUUAUAUCUAUCUCGUGGAGAGCUUUUUUUGAUUGAGUUGAAGAAGUGCUUAAUUCAUCAGAAUUCUUGGUGUUCCUUGGUGUUGCUGGUAUGCAACUUGGCAUGUGUGGUUAUAGUAAGAGAGACAUAGCUGUUCUAGUGAUCGAGUCGAGGCGAUGGCGGGUUAUGUGCAGACUUUUAUUUGGACUGGAGUUUGGGUUGUCUUGUUUGGGCGAUCAUAACAGCUAAGACAUUUAAUCUACAGAUGUUGCUGGAUCAUAACAGCCAACACAUUUAAUCUACAGAUGUUGCUGGUUUGAUCUUUGCUGUAUCGCAAGCAUUUUUGCUGCAGGAUCGAUGUGGUGUUUCGCGGUCUGCAUCCAUGUUUGUCCUGAUCUGGCUAUUGGCGAAGUGCUGGUCCGGUUUCAACCGAAGUCUGACAAUCUGCUGAUCUUGGUGGAAUUUUGGCAAUCUCAAGUCUGAAUUUCAUUUGUAAACCACUCGAGAGUUUGUAAGAACAUUUGUACAAACUAGUUGCUGUAUUUUAGUUUAGUCCUGGUAUGAGGAAUGUAUUGUUGUGUGCUUUUUGUUAAGGUUAAGGGGUCUUUUGUCAGAUUUGAUUUUUAGGUGUGUUUCCAUUUUGUUUAGGAGAUAUCUCAGUGGUUAUGUUUUCAUGAGGUUCCAAGAUUUUUGGUGGUUUGUUGUUGCUGUUUA